CUAUACCACCAUACCAUCCUCAACAUACCUGCUUCCAUCUGAUUUUGGAAGCUAAGCAGGAUCGAGAUUGGUUAAUACUAGGAUGGAGGAAUAGCAGGGAUUUCUGAGUGAGGCUAGA
rnacentral:rRNA from 1 species